rnacentral:rRNA from 1 species
AGUCGACGAUGAAUCUUCUAGCUUGCUAGAAGUGGAUUAGUGGCGCACGGGUGAGUAAUGCAUAGGUUAUGUGCCCUUUAGUCUGGGAUAGCCACUGGAAACGGUGAUUAAUACUGGAUACUCCCUACGGGGGAAAGUUUUUCGCUAAAGGAUCAGCCUAUGUCCUAUCAGCUUGUUGGUGAGGUAAUGGCUCACCAAGGCUAUGACGGGUAUCCGGCCUGAGAGGGUGAUCGGACACACUGGAACUGAGACACGGUCCAGACUCCUACGGGAGGCAGCAGUAGGGAAUAUUGCUCAAUGGGGGAAACCCUGAAGCAGCAACGCCGCGUGGAGGAUGAAGGUUUUAGGAUUGUAAACUCCUUUUGUUAGAGAAGAUUAUGACGGUAUCUAACGAAUAAGCACCGGCUAACUCCGUGCCAGCAGCCGCGGUAAUACGGAGGGUGCAAGCGUUACUCGGAAUCACUGGGCGUAAAGAGUGCGUAGGCGGGGUAAUAAGUCAGAUGUGAAAUCCUGUAGCUUAACUACAGAACUGCAUUUGAAACUGUUACUCUGGAGUGUGGGAGAGGUAGGUGGAAUUCUUGGUGUAGGGGUAAAAUCCGUAGAGAUCAAGAGGAAUACUCAUUGCGAAGGCGACCUGCUGGAACAUUACUGACGCUGAUGCACGAAAGCGUGGGGAGCAAACAGGAUUAGAUACCCUGGUAGUCCACGCCCUAAACGAUGGAUGCUAGUUGUUGCCUUGCUUGUCAGGGCAGUAAUGCAGCUAACGCAUUAAGCAUCCCGCCUGGGGAGUACGGUCGCAAGAUUAAAACUCAAAGGAAUAGACGGGGACCCGCACAAGCGGUGGAGCAUGUGGUUUAAUUCGAAGAUACGCGAAGAACCUUACCUAGGCUUGGCAUUGA